rnacentral:rRNA from 1 species
AUUGAACGCUGGCGGCAGGCCUAACACAUGCAAGUCGAACGGUAACAGGAAGAAGCUUGCUUCUUUGCUGACGAGUGGCGGACGGGUGAGAAAUGUCUGGGAAACUGCCUGAUGGAGGGGGAUAACUACUGGAAACGGUAGCUAAUACCGCAUAACGUCGCAAGACCAAAAAGGGGGACCUUCGGGCCUCUUGCCAGCGGAUGUGCCCAGAUGGGAUUAGCUAGUAGGUGGGGUAACGGCUCACCUAGGCCACGAUCCCUAGCGGGUCUGAGAGGAUGACCGGCCACACUGGAACUGAGACACGGUCCAGACUCCUACGGGAGGCAGCAGUGGGGAAUAUUGCACAAUGGGCGCAAGCCUGAUGCAGCCAUGCCGCGUGUAUGAAGAAGGCCUUCGGGUUGUAAAGUACUUUCAGCAGGGAGGAAGGGAGUAGAGUUAAUACCUUUACUCAUUGACGUUACCCGCAGAAGAAGCACCGGCUAACUCCGUG